rnacentral:lncRNA from 1 species
AGCGCCUUUUGCAUACCAGGCACUAUGCUCAGUACUGGAGAUACAGUGGUCCCCAUGAGUACAUAGGAUGAUAGGUGGGGCUGAUACAUAGUCACUUCCAGUUAUAGGAGAAGGGCUUCUCAAACUGUCUUUCUGAGCUGGUUAAUGGUUACUGCCUAAUCCUUCCUUGCCUGCUCCUUAGUAUGACCACAAGCGAAUCUCAAAGUUGUCAGAGCGGCUGAUACAGAAUAUAAUGAAGAGCCUUCCAGAUGUGGUGAUGAAUGGGGACCCUAAGCACCAUUAUCCCGGCUGUAUCAACCUCUCCUUUGCAUAUGUGGAAGGGGAAAGUCUGCUGAUGGCACUGAAGGACGUUGCCUUAUCCUCAGGGAGGUGAGCUGGACGGCAUAGACAGGGCCUGCGGCAGGGCCACUUAGAAGAGUCAUACAGGCUAUUAAACUUCCCAGUGUGGAGAUGAUAGGCACAAGACCUCUUGAUUAAGGGUAAAGGUCAUUUUGUAAGUGCCUCUCUUUUUUUGGUUGGCUGGGUAGCUGGGUACAGACUGAAGUUUACCACCCUAGGAAGACUUCCUGGGGUAGAAUUUUGUGCCUUUUAUCGUCCCAGGGGAUGUAUGUGUCUGUUGUGGGUUACACUAGCAGUUCUGUUACAGGCCUCUAGAAUUGAAGAUGCUCCAAAGGCCACUAAGUGUUUGGCUGCCCUUCAGGCUGGUGCAGAUGGUGCAUUACGUCCUGGGGAAGUGAGCACAUGGUCCUCUGCUGCGUCUUCUUGUCAAACCCAUGUGGUAUCAUGCUCUGUCACACUUUGCCAGCGUCCUUGCUUAAGGAAGUCAUCCACCAUGGGGGCCAGAGGAGCUAGGUUCACACAUCCUAGGAUGUGCAGGGGAGCAUCAGGUCCUUUAGUUCUGCCAGAUUAGAAGGUCUCUUGUUUUCUCCAGGGUAUGACUCCAGGGCCCUGGGGGAUGGGA